CAGGGAAUAGUAUAAAAGAGUAUAUUUUACUUACAAUAAAAAGGUUUAAACUCUGA
rnacentral:tRNA from 1 species